rnacentral:rRNA from 1 species
CAGCGCCACGAGUGGCAAUCACGUUUAUUGGGCCUAAAGCGUCCGUAGCCGGUUUAGCAAAUCUUUUGUGAAAUCGUCAGGCUUAACUUGACGAAUUGCAGAAGACACUACUAAACUCGGGACCGGGAGGAGUCAGAAGUAUUCAGGGGGGACCGGUAAAAUGGUAUAAUCCCCUGAGGACUACCGAUGGCGAAGGCAUCUGACCAGAACGGAUCCGACGGUGAGGGACGAAAGCCAGGGGAGCAAACCGGAUUAGAUACCCGAGUAGUC